rnacentral:other from 1 species
GCGGGGCUGCCCGGCACGAGCCGCAUGAACAUCCCUGAGGCUAUAAGCAAUCCAAGGGAGCUGUCCCUGUCCCGGUCCACCGGUUCGGCCGUGGGAUUGGGGCAUACGGCACCCACCUGACGUUUAGGCGUCAGAGGAUUUCGCCGGAAACGACCCAUGGUGGUCCCGCC